rnacentral:rRNA from 1 species
CCUACGGGAGGCAGCAGUAGGGAAUAUUGGUCAAUGGGCGGGAGCCUGAACCAGCCAAGCCGCGUGAGGGAAGAAGGUACAGCGUAUCGUAAACCUCUUUUGUCAGGGAACAAAGGCGGGGACUAGUCCCCGGAUGAGGGUACCUGAAGAAAAAGCAUCGGCUAACUCCGUGCCAGCAGCCGCGGUAAUACGGAGGAUGCGAGCGUUAUCCGGAUUUAUUGGGUUUAAAGGGGGCGCAGGCGGCCUGUUAAGUCAGCGGGAAAAGCCCGGGGCUCAACCCCGGCGAGCCGUUGAAACUGGCGGGCUGGAGUUGGAGAGAAGUACGCGGAAUGCGCGGUGUAGCGGUGAAAUGCUUAGAUAUCGCGCAGAACCCCGAUUGCGAAGGCAGCGUACCGGCUCCACACUGACGCUGAGGCACGAAAGCGUGGGUAUCGAACAGGAUUAGAUACCCGAGUAGUC